rnacentral:rRNA from 1 species
UACGUAGGGGGCAAGCGUUGUCCGGAUUUAUUGGGCGUAAAGCGUGCGCAGGCGGUUCGUUGUGUCGGCGGUGAAAGCCCCGGGCUUAACCUGGGAAUGGCCGUUGAAACUGGCGAACUGGAGUGUGGCAGAGGGGGGUGGAAUUCCGCGUGUAGCAGUGAAGUGCGUAGAGAUGCGGAGGAACACCGAUGGCGAAGGCAGCCCCCUGGGCUAACACUGACGCUCAGGCACGAAAGCGUGGGGAGCAAACAGG